UUUCAACCAGUUCUACUUUUCAGGAAUUAUACACUUGGAUAAAGAAUUUCAAAGCUACAUAAGGGAUCUAACAGAUAGAAACAUACUAAGAUGAAAGCAUUCAAUCUAGUCAGACUGAAGACACCUUCAACAUAUCACCAGGAGGUACUUUCAUUAGAAAGGGAACACUCAGAAUAAAUCGUAAAAAGUUGGUCCUGAGUGCUGUUAGCAAGCUCUCUCUCUAACCUAGGUCUCUGCAGGAAGCAAGUAAUCUGGCAACAAACAACUACAGAAUUAUAGCUUAACUGAAGAUUCUUCUUCUCAAGAUUUUGGGCAAAUGUGGAGUAAACUACCACAAAUAAAACUAAAUUUGAUCCUCUGCACUGCAACUGAGAAAACAGGUCAUGAUUUAUGGAGAUAGGGAUCCAUAUUGCUUGUCUUGCCAGGAAGCAGGGCUCAGCAUGGAGCCAUAUGAAGCCUUCAAGACUAUUCACAUAGAAGGAUCAUUGUUAGGCAACAGAAGACAUUCAUUUCUCCCAGUUUCCGAGACCCAGUUGGCCAGAAAUGAAAGAUGACAUUUGAAUUUGGAUUUUCACCUCACCCCAAAAGAUAGCUCAUUAAGUUAUUUUGAUCUUUAUCCUCAGAACUGCACAAGUCAUGCCAUGAACUGGAGACUUUUAAUCUUAAACCUUGAUCCUUCGGUCUUUACAUAAGCAAAAUUCCCAUCUCAAAUGGAAUAUUGUAGGAUUGGGCCCUUAGUCAGAAAAAAGAACUGGUUUCUGGGUGCAUAAUAGACCAUAGUAAUAUUUGUUGGAGGAAAGGAGUAUCUUCGGUAUUGUUGCUAGACUGGCUAGGUUAAUGGAGUUCCUAAAUCAACCCAAAAUAGCAAGCAUUUGUUGUAUGAUUAGCUUCACAAUAUAUCCAGUAGCAAGAGCAAACUCUAAUACAAAUAUCUGAGUUAGCUAUCAUAGCUCUCAGUCGACCACUGGUGUCCUUUUAUUGGUUGUUGCAGCUGAGAUUCUAUUCCUAAUCCUACCCACAAAUCCCUAUACAACAUCACUGCCCUGAUGUACUGUGUACUCUAGGUUAAGCAUAGAAGAACUGAAGUUUAAAUAGAAGAUAGAAUGUAUUUUGCUUUGGCUGUAACAAAAAAUUAAAAAAUGGGAUUUCACAACAGGUGAAUACCUAACCAAAAAAACCUGCUUAAUAUUAUUGCCAAUAUUUUCCUCCUCCCUUCCUCCCAGUAUUUAUCAUCACUUACCAAGUUAUGGCUUAACUUUGUUUGAAAGGUCUCUGCACAAGCAAAGCAAGAAACUGCUUGAGAUCCAGCUUUUGGGGGACUGUCUUUUGUUUGUAAAAUGCCAUACACAUGUAUAAAUAAUAAUAAAUGUUA